CUAAUAUGCUGUAUAUGUGGUUUCAUCCUUGGCUGACCAUAGGACCUUAGGAAAUUCCUUGGUUGUCAUUCUACCUAUUCAAAUAAGACUUGCAUGACAUCCCCUAAAAGAUAAUUUGAAUACUUGUUAAUAUCUGGAAACCUUUAUGUGAUUGUGUGUUUUUUUAGUUGUGCUUAAUAAUAUGAUUGGAUAUGCCCAAAAGGGUUUGGUCAAUGCAAGUGCAUUUGAAUGAAGUUCAAAACCUAUUUUUUUUUUUUUUUGAAACACUUGUAAAAAUUCAGGUAGAUUUAACUAUGUUUGGCUUAGUUUAAAUCUGUCUAAGUAUGACUGAAGUCUUCUUUUUCUAAGUGUGUGCUUGAAAUGACCUAGAUAUGAUUGUGGAAUGGUUUGAUGUCAUAAACUUAAGUAAAAGAAUGUGAUAUAGGCAGAAGUCCUUGAUAAUGAUAUGAAUCAGUGGCUGAAGGUAAACCUCUGCACUUAUGUUGUAAAAUCUGGUCUAAAUAACCUGGAAAGAAGAACUAGAAGAGUUAGGAAACACUUCACCUGUCUUGUUUAUCACUCAGGACUAUUUGAACUAGAUGGUGUGUGAAAUUAAUUCUGUGUAAUCCCUAAAAGCUAGACAUUUGCCCUCUUGUAAGUAAUUUGAAAUCUGAAACACGAGGAAAAGAAAAGAAUAGAUAAGUAGGAAACCCUCUGACCCCUUUAUGCACUAUCCUUUUUCCCAUCCAUGUGUAUGAUUUUGUCUCUUUCUUUUGACUAAGGUUAUUCAAACUGAUAGUUUUGGCACAAACUAAUCACAGUUAUUCUGAAAGCUGGUAUUAAUAAGAAAAUGAUAUUGUAUGCUUAAAACGGUGAAAAUGAUUAUAUAUUUAGAACGGAUAUACUUGUUAUAUCUUAAUCUGGAUGUCUGUAUGGUCUGCUCAUUGUUCUUUAUCUCUUGUCCUGAUGAGAGGGAUUCAAAAUAGCUUCAUUGAUUAAGAUCCUGGGCCUAUUCAACAGGAAUAGCUCAUUUAGGUCAGUAUUAACUAGGUGUUUAACUAGGGUUCAAUUUAAGGAUAUGUGUUAAGUUAAGCUUAACUACAGAGUCUUUAGUGGUUGUCACUAAGGCAUGAGAGUAUGGUGAACGGGUUGAGGGUGCCUCAGGAGAGUAAAAGGUGAGCUUAGGCAUGAGUUGAAAGUGAUAACCAAUGGAACCUUUGCUCUCUUUUUACUGGAAGUAAGAUUCAGGAAAGGCUUGGGGAAGUGACUCUUCACCUUGUCCUGCUUCUCUUUUAGGACCCUGAGGUUCUAUUUUCCUCCUAUACCUCAUUCCCAUGGCUAUGGGACUCAUAAGGGCUAUAUGUUGGUUAAGAAAAAAACUUAACAUUAUCUGGGGAAGGUCUUUUAGAACACCAUGUUUGUUUCAAACCAAAAGUAGAGAACAGGGUCAGAGUCUUGUCAUAAUCAGUCCUCUAAGUUAAAUUAACCUGUAAAAUGAUAGUUGUAUGUGUUGUUGGUGCCUGACUUGGUUAAAUGACAAAGGGAGAAAGCCAUAAUGUGUGUAUAUGUGAACUCUGAUUCACAUGACCUAGGGAAGCCUUUUAAAGGGACCUUAGAAUGGGGGAUUGAUAAGAACCAGGUAUAACUUGAUUCAUAGUAUCUUUCCCCCUAAAUAAGAGGUGCCAUGGCAUGCCCUUAGGUCUAUGGGAUAUGUGUUUUCUGACUACAUGCUAUUUGGUCCUCUAUUUUUUAUCAUUAAAUCCAAAGAUUGCAAGAGAAUGAACCUGUCAAGUGAUCAAGAAUGGCUAGCAUAGUUAGAGAAAUAGACUAUCAACUUAAGAACACUAAUUCUUAGAAAACAGAAAGGAAUUGACUAAGUUAAAACCUGAACAGUAGCCCUUUCUGUUUAAAAAAAAAAAAAAAACACUAAAUCUAAGUUAGUUGAUCUAUGUGCAUCUUGUGCUAUCUCUCUUUCUCAAAUUUUUGCUGAAACUAGAUGUUAAGGUUGUCUCUUUCCUCCUUCUCAUUUCACCUGAGGCUUGGUACAUAUGUAGCCUGUAUACCUUUGCAUUUGCUUCCACCAAUUUGACUGGGACUUGAAGAUAAUUCUUAUGCUACCUUGAGUAUCUAAAGCUUAUUUGAACACUGUUCUGCCUUGUGUUGUGUCUCCUUUUUCAAAUCAUAGGUUUUAUACUUGGCUUCUUGUUGCCGUUAACAUGGCAAACUCUUCUCCAUGACCUCUUUGUUUCUUCUUUGAGUUUGAUUCCUAAUAGGGACAUGGCAUCGCUAUUCUCAUUAUGAAAUAGUCAAUAUGCCAAAUUAAAUUUCUCUGUGUGCUGAUGUGCUAUCUGUUAAUGCUUAAGGACUUGCUGAACCUGUGUGAGUAGCCCAUCUGCCUAGUGUUGGAUCAACUAGCUUGAACCUGAAUUUGCCUUCGUGUGGGAUGAAUAUCAUUACUUGUAAAAUUUGAGAUAGUUGUUCAGACUGUUUGUAGGACUCUUAGUUCAAGGCAUGUUUAAAGCUAGAUUAGACACAAGAAGCAUACUAAGUCAUUGAGGAAGGAAGAAGUAUACAUAGGAUAUACAAUUAACAUAUACAUACUAUAGACACACCAUUAGAAUAUUAGAGGCGGACAGUUGCGUUUUGUGAAUAUACAAAGUGCCUUGGGCCUUAGUCCUGGGCCAAUUUAACUCAACAGGCAAUUGGGCUUAUCCCAUUUCAGAACCUUAAGAAAAGAUUAUGGAUCAGGCCUAAUUAGAAAUAUGAAGCAAAGGAAAUGGGAUAUGGUCCGGGUAAAUUUUUCCUUUUAACCACAAUUGUGGGAUGUAUGAUUUGGCAUAACGUGUAUAUAUAUGUAUGCUUUCCUUUAUAUAUGUGUGAUUAUACAUGUGUGUGAUAAGAUCAGUCAAUCGAAUCUAACCGGGGUCUUUUGUUUUCUCCUUCCUCCUCUGCUGCAUGGGCACUUGGGUCCGGUUGAAGCCAAACCUGUUGGGCCAAGGCCUAACAAGUCAAUUCUUUCAUGAAUAGAAUCAAGUCUGAUGGAAAGAAAGGGAAGAAAAUGACAUAGGCUGUGGUAUGGUAUUUGUAUUUGUAAAAGAAUGCUCACAUUAUUAUUGGAAUCCUUUUGAUUAUGAACUAGCCAUCUUAGGACUACAGUACUUAUGCCGUUUAGUCGACUUUAGGCCCCCCAAAUGAUUUCCAAAACCCGAAUUUAGUAUAACUAUUUUCAAAACCAAAAGGAAUAACAAGAUGAAACAAUUCUUCAAUACAAGUUCAAAAUAGAUGCAAAAAGGUUUUCAAAUAAUAAACGGCUUCUAACUAACACGGACCGGAUCAGUUUUCUUUUCCCUAAACAAUUUUUUUUCAUUUUUGGAAAGUAGAAAAAGAAAUUGAUUUCUUAAUAGAAAAAUCAAAUAAGAAUGAAAUGUUUUUUUUUUUUUUGGGUCAAGCCCAUCUAUAAACUUGAUGUUUUAAGGCCUAAAGGCCCAUUCAACUUCAAAAAUUAAGCAGAUAACAAAAAAAAGGGCAGAGAUAAACAAAGCCCACCUGAUUUAGAAAAAGAGUGAUUUUUGGGCCUAAACCCGACUUAGGAUCGAGGAACCGAUUGUAUAUAUACGGACUCACCGAAAUAAAAUCA